rnacentral:lncRNA from 1 species
UUUUUAAAGAUUUUUUAGGAGCUAAAUAUAUAAACGUAAAAAACAAACCCAACAAUAAAAAUGCAAACAAAAUGUAAUACAAAAAAUAAUAAGAUCAAAGAUGAAUUCAUGGACACUUGGCCUCUCUUUGAGACAAAAAAAUAAUAUAGGAACCAGCAAAAAACUCAAAAGCAACUUCACGAGGAAAAAGAAAACCUAAAAGCAAUCCCCUUAAUGAUUAACAAAAUAAACCUUCUUUUUUCAUUAUAAAGUGUUAAAAAAAGAAGUUACUGGAAAAAUGGAGCAAUAAACGGUGGAAAUAUUUCUUCUCUGUCAAAUUACCAACAAAUUCAGAGGAUGCAAAACUUUUUAAAGUAAAGAAUGGAAAGAAACCAAAGAAUGUCAAGAAUGGUGAUGAAAUGUGAAAGCCUAAUCAUCAAAGCUCACUUGCAUACUGAAACUUGAAAGCACAAACAAUAAUGAAAGAGGAAUGCUGGUUUCACGUGUUUAAAUUAAAAAGCAAUUAAGUAAAGAGUAAACUUCAAAAUCCAACCACAAUCUUCAAUUAAAGCUUCUAUCUUGAUUCCACAUCCGGACAAUUUCAAUACAAUACACCAAUGACUAAUCUUCAUAAUCAAGAAUAUCUAACUACACUAAGAAUUUCAUCAUCCAGCAAGCAUUAACUAAAUAAUUGAGAAUCCUGUUAAAAUUGAAAAUUUUAUAAAAUUUCAGCCGAAACCAGAAAGGCUAAUGUUAUACAUUGAAUAUUAAUUAUUAAAGAUUAUUGGCUUGUUGAAUAUUAAUUAUUUUUUAACUAUACACUAAUCUGCACAGUAUUUAUAAAUUCAAUUUAAUUAUUUGCUGCCAAGCACAAAUUUGAAGGUCCUAAUAUUGUAAAGAAAGAUUCAAAUUACACCAAGAAUUUCAAUAAUAUUCAAAUAAAAAUUGUACCUUUUAAUACAGCACCAUUUCAAGAACACAUAGGUCUUUCCAGAAAUGCUCGAACCACCAAGAUUUGACAGAUAAAUGGUAAAAAGGCACAUGCUCUGAAUAUUUUCUCCCCCGAUUAUACUUAACUGUGAGAAUUUUCCUGCGAUAUUAUAAAGCGAUAAAAAAUAAUUAAUACAAGGUAGAAUUUCGUAUAAGAAGUCAGAUUGGUGCGGUAGAGGAGUUGUGGGAAAAUAAUUCACGUCCAAAGAUCGAAACGUGGUUCUUUUCUUUUCAUUUUUUUU